rnacentral:rRNA from 1 species
AUAAAGUGGUACGUGAGCUGGGUUUAGAACGUCGUGAGACAGUUUGGUCCCUAUCUACUGUGUUUUUAAAAAAAAAAAAUUUUAUUUACUUCAGUACGAGAGGACCGAGAACAUGAAGCCAAUUGUUAAAAAUUAUUUUACAUAAUAAAGUAAGUUUUUAAGCUACGCUUCUUUAUAUAACCAUAUGGGAAUUAAAAAAUUUUUUUUUUUUUAAUAAAUAAAAAGUAAAUAACUUUAGUUU